rnacentral:rRNA from 1 species
UGGGGAAUAUUGCACAAUGGGCGCAAGCCUGAUGCAGCCAUGCCGCGUGUAUGAAGAAGGCCUUCGGGUUGUAAAGUACUUUCAGUCGGGAGGAAGGUGUCAAGGUUAAUAACCUUGGCAAUUGACGUUACCGACAGAAGAAGCACCGGCUAACUCCGUGCCAGCAGCCGCGGUAAUACGAAGGGUGCAAGCGUUAAUCGGAAUUACUGGGCGUAAAGCGCACGCAGGCGGUUGAUUGAGUCAGAUGUGAAAUCCCCGGGCUUAACCCGGGAAUUGCAUCUGAUACUGGUCAGCUAGAGUCUUGUAGAGGGGGGUAGAAUUCCAUGUGUAGCGGUGAAAUGCGUAGAGAUGUGGAGGAAUACCGGUGGCGAAGGCGGCCCCCUGGACAAAGACUGACGCUCAGGUGCGAAAGCGUGGGGAGCAAACAGG